rnacentral:rRNA from 1 species
UAGAAUUGACGGGACCGCACAAGCGGUGGAUGAUGUGGAUAAUUCGAUGCAACGCGAAAACCUUACCUACCCUUGACAUGUACGGAAUCCUUUAGAGAUAGAGGAGUGCUCGAAAGAGAACCGUAACACAGGUGCUGCAUGGCUGUCGUCAGCUCGUGUCGUGAGAUGUUGGGUUAAGUCCCGCAACGAGCGCAACCCUUGUCAUUAGUUGCUACAUUCAGUUGGGCACUCUAAUGAGACUGCCGGUGACAAACCGGAGGAAGGUGGGGAUGACGUCAAGUCCUCAUGGCCCUUAUAGGUGGGGCUACACACGUCAUACAAUGGAUGGUACAAAGGGUCGCCAACCCGCGAGGGGGAGCUAAUCCCACAAAGCCGAUCGUAGUCCGGAUCGCAGUCUGCAACUCGACUGCGUGAAGUCGGAAUCGCUAGUAAUCGUGGAUCAGCAUGUCACGGUGAAUACGUUCCCGGGUCUU